GUCCACGCCGUAAACGAUGGGUGCUAGGUGUGGGGGGUGUCGACUCCCCCCGUGCCGAAGCUAACGCAUUAAGCACCCCGCCUGGGGAGUACGGCCGCAAGGCUAAAACUCAAAGGAAUUGACGGGGGGCCGCACAAGCAGCGGAGCAUGUGGUUUAAUUCGACGCAACGCGAAGAACCUUACCAAGGCUUGACAUGGUCGGGAAAGCCGUAGAAAUACGGCCCUCCUUCGGGACUCGAUCACAGGUGGUGCAUGGCUGUCGU
rnacentral:rRNA from 1 species